GGAGAGGUGGGUGAGUGGCUGAAACCACCGGUUUGCUAAACCGACGUACGGGUUAUACCGUACCACGAGUUCGAAUCUCGUCCUCUCCGCCU
rnacentral:tRNA from 1 species